AAGAAAAGGCAGAGUGCCAGCUUCCUGCAUACAUGUUGUACUUUGAUAAAGGUUAUAUACAUGCAGGGAAAACGGAAGCGGAAGGGAAGGGCGCUGCACACUAUUGACUCUGGCAGGAGUCGGUCUGGCUGUGCCAGGCGCUCCGAUCCCGAGUAUGACUCCCAUCGUGCAGAUGUGGAAACAGAGGCCCCGAGAGACGAAAUAACUUGCCCUCCAGCCCCAUGCUGGUAAGUGGCUGGAAAGUAACUGGGAUUUGAACCCAGGCCUCAUGCACUGCUGACUCUGCAUCUGAUUGCUGCAAUAAGGAAUACGCAAAGCAGAUGGAAACCUCCAGAAGGCCCGUCCUUUCGGGGAAGAAGGAGAGCGCCGCCUCACUCCCACCGCUCCCCGUGGCGAACAGCUCGAGAACAAAAUGGCACGCACCCGAUCACUGUAUUUACGCACUACAGCGGCGGCAGUCACCAUCAACUUUGUCCUUGUCUGGAUGGAAAAAUUAGAAAUCCCAAGGACCAGAGAAAGAGAAAAUAAAACCAAGGAAACUAAAGCUUCUAGCACCUACAGCUACAGCAAACAUUAGAACCCAGCUUCUAGUUGGGUUAAUAUAAAGCUUCACACUGACAGCUGCAUUACCUCAGUUCCUACUACCUGAUCUACCAUGUCUGGCUUUAAACAAAAAAUUCUGAGAUCUGCCAAAAGACAAGAAAAAAAAAAGUGUCUGUAGAGACAAAGCAAGCAUCACAAGUAGACCCAGCUAUGACACAAUGUUGGAAUCAAGCAAUGGAGAAUUAAAAAUAAUGAUGAUUAACAUGUUAAGGGCUCUAAUGGAGGAAGUAGACAACAUUCUAGAACAGAUGGGUAACAUAAGGAGAGAGAGGGAAACUCUAAGAAGGAAUAAAAAAAUGUUGGAAAUAAAAAACACCAAAACAGAAAUAAAGAAUGCCCCUGGUGGACUCAUCUGUAGACCAGACAGAGCCGAGGCAAGAAUCAGUGAGCCUGAAGACAUGUCAAUUGAAAUGUCACAAACUAAAAUGCAAAGAGAAAGAAUGAAGAAAAGGAGAAUGUCCAGGAACAGUGUCUUUGAUGACAGAGAAGAAAUGGAUAUGUUUCUUGAAACAUACAGCCUCCCAGGACUAAAUCAUGAUGAAACAGAAUUUCUGAGCAGACUGAGUACUAGUAAGGAGAUUGAAUCAGUCAUCAAAAUCCUCCCAAGAAACAAAACUCUAGGGCCACAUGGCUUCACUGGUGAAUUCUACCAAAUAUGUAAAGAAUUCAUACCAAUAACUGCUUUAAAUGUGAAUGGUUUAAAUAGAUCAAUUAAAAGACAGAGAUUGUUAGAAUACAUAAAAAACAAAAUCCAAUUCUAUGUUGUUUAUAAGAAACACUCUUUGAACAUAAAGACAUAAAAAGUGAAGGGAAAGAGAAAGAUAUGUCACUAACCAAAGAAAGUAGGAGUAGGUAAAUUAAUUUCAGAUGAAGCAGGCUGCAGAACAGAGAAAAUUAUCAGGGAUAAAGGUGGGCAUUACCUGAUGAUAAAGGGGUCAAUUCUCCAAGAAGUCAUAAUGAUCCUUAGAAUGUAUGUAGCUAAAAACAGAGUGUCAAAAUAUGUGAGGUAAAACAGAUAGAAUUGCAAGGGAAAAUAGACAAAUCUACUAUUAAGUUGGAGAUUUUAACACCCCUCUCUCAGUAAUUGACAGAUUCAGCAUGCAGAAAAUUGGUAAGGAUAUAGUUGGAUUGAACAGCACCAUCAAUCAACUGGAUCUAAUUGACGUGUAAAAAAUACUUCAUCUUACAAGAGCAGAAUACACAUUCUUUUCAGUUCACAUGGAGCAUUCACAAAAAUAGACUACAUUCUGGGCCAUUAAACACCUUGACAAAUACAAAAGAAGAGAAAUCAUGCAAAGCAUGCUCUCAGACCACAGUGGUAUUAAACCGAAAAUUUGUAACAGAAAGAUAGCUAGAAAGUCCCCAAAUAUUUGAAGAUAAAAUAGUACAUGUCCAAACAACAUAUGGGUCCAAAAGGAAGUAUCAAGAGAAAUUUUAAAAUAUUUUAAACUCAAUGAAAAAAUGAAAAUAGAACUGACUGAAUUCUGUAGGGUACAGUGAAAGCUGUGUUUAGAGGGAAAUUUAUAGCAUUGAAUGCACAUAUCAGAGAAAAUAAAAGAUCUAGAAUGCACCUAUUAGAGAAGAUAAAAGAUCUAGAAUCAAUCAUCUAAGCUUCCACCUUGGGAAACUAGAAAAAGAAGAGCUAAUUAAACCCAAAGUAAGCAUAUGAGAAGGAAUAAUAAAAAUAAGAGCACAAAUCAAUGAAAUUAAAACAGGAAAUUAAUAGAAAAAGUCAAUGAAAGCAAAAUUUAGUCUGUGAAGACAUCAAUGAAAUUGGUAAACCUUAGCCAGGCGAGAGCUGGCUAAAAAAGGAGCAGAUUACUAGACUACUAAUUGGUAAUUAAUAAUUACUAAUAUCAGAAAUGGAAGAAGGGUAAUCACUACUGAUCCAAUGGACGUUAAAAAGGAUAAUAAAGGAGGGGUGCCCGGGGGAUCAGCCAGUUAAGCAUCCAACUCUUGCUUUCAGCUCAGGUCAUGAUCUUAGUAUGUGAGACUGAACCCUAUGUUGAGCUCUGUGUGUGCUGUAUUGGGUGAGGAGCCUGCUUAAAAUUCUCUCUCUCUCUCU